CAGUGCGCCUGCGCCGCGCCUUGCCCCUCCCCCCGGCCGCCCCGCCCUCUACUUGCAGUAGCCCCGCCCAGCGCUCUCGGUAGUCCCGCCCCUGCCCACAGAAUCUUCUCUUAGGCAGCAGAGACCCCAGAAGGCUGGACCAGCCAAGACCGACCUUGGGGAGUAGGAGAAACCUAGGGGGAUCUGCAGAGGAUCAGCUACAAAACUGGAAAUGUGGGAGAACCGGUGAAGACAAAGAAGCGAAGGUCAAGUGAAUUCAAGAAAUAAGUGCAGAAGUCACUCAGAUUGGGGAUCCCCUCGAGGAAUUGUGUCAUUCAAAAGAAAGAGAGGGUUGUCUUCUCACCAUCGCCCUUCAUUGUAUUCAUAAUUCCGUUUCCCCACGCAAAGAUCAGAGUACCUUCAAUUAUUAACUUUUGGAGAGUUGAGCAACACACUGAUUGAAGCAGGCUGGAAAGCCCCAUUCUUUGCUUUUCACAUCCAUGAAACUUUAUUUCUUCAAGGCCCUCCUCCUGGCUGCCCAUGGAAGAGUCUCCUUCUGCCUACCUGCCUUUGGAUCAAGAUGUCCAACUUUCAGCAACUUCUCCAGCACUAUGUCUGUCUAGGCUCUGUGAUGCUUCCUGCUCUGAUGCUAACAGACUGAACAUCUGAAACUGGGGUCUCCGGGUAGUUAAGGAAGACUCACUUUGAGUCUUACAGAGGCAACCAGAUCUCUGUGAGUUCAAGGCCAGCCUGGUCUACAGAGAGAGUUUCAGAAAAGCUGAGGCUAACAGAGAAGCCCUUUCUCAAACAACAACAACAACAACAACAGUCUGGCGUAAGUAAAGAAACCUAAGUUCUGGAUGUUACAGGCUAGGGCCUGGAUUAACAGGUAGCAAAGACUCACCAGGCUAUAAGCUACACUCACCCCUGGCAUUCCAGGAGGAACAGAUAAACAAACACCUCUUUCCACUGAAGAGAUAAGCCAUGUGUUUAACUUUUCUGACUUCUCCAGUGUUUAUUUGUGUGCAGUGGUGAAUUAGUUAACCUGCUUUGGCUCUGAACCAGUUGCACAUGCUACACCCGCCCAAGACCUCUGGAUUCAUGCAUGAAAGACACUACAUGCUAGCUAAUUUUGAUACGCCUAACUAGCCUAAUGGUUGGGCACUUCUAUACCUCCCUGUGGCCAGCACACAGUCCCCUCUGGUACUCCUGGCCUACCACCUUCUGAAUCUGUGUUUAUCUUUGCUGCCCUGCUGCCUUCUGGGAAGCUCCCCUUCUUCAUUUCCCAUCCCACUUACACUGCUGGAUGAUUUCUCUGCUGCAGCUCUAAAUCUCAUCCCUCUGCCUCCGAGACAUGGUGAUUCUCUCUUCUUUCCCCUCUCUUCCUCGGUCCCUUGCCCAGGAAAUCUAAAACUCCUGCCUGACCAUUGGCUCUAUGGCAAUCAAAUCAACCAAAGCCAGCUGAGGGCAGGGACCCUCAGAGUCUGCAAGCACUUUUGGGAGCCAAAUUAAGACAAGGCGUUAGAACCAAUUCCCAACAUCUGUGUGCACAAGGCCGUUUCAUCUCCUGCAACUUCUGUGCUGGCGCUCUCCAGGAGAAAGCGAGUUCAAGUUCUGCUGGACAACUCUUGUUCCCUCUUUGUACAGCACUAGGGGUUGAACCCAGGGUCCUUGGACAUUUGUGGCAAGUGUUCUUGCUGCAGACCACCCAGGGGAGUGUGUCAGCAGAGGGACCAAGGCUUGGACUUCAGGUAGAGAACGGAUUCAGCGCGACAGACAGACACAAACUCGAGGUGUGUGCUGCUGCGAAAAGCUUUACUUCUUGGCAUAGAUUUAAGCAGUUAGAACAGGUACCUCAUAAUUGGCAGUCAUCCAGCUCUAUUCAUUACCCCAGCAAAUGUCCCUUGCAAGGAGGAAAGCUGAAC